rnacentral:rRNA from 2 species
UUCGCAAUGCCCGAAAGGGUGACGAAGCGACGCCGCGUGUGGGAAGAAGGCCUUCGGGUUGUAAACCGCUGUUGGGAGUUAGGAAGUGUGGGAGUGUUAAUAGCGCUUCCACUUGACUAAAGCUCCAGAGGAAGCCACGGCUAACUCUGUGCCAGCAGCCGCGGUAAUACAGAGGCGGCAAGCGUUGUUCGGAAUUAUUGGGCGUAAAGAGCACGUAGGCGGCUCUGUAAGUCAGCUGUGAAAGCCUUCUGCUUAACGGAAGAACAGCAGUUGAAACUACAGGGCUUGAGUGCGGGAGGGGAGAGUGGAACUUCUGGUGGAGCGGUGAAAUGCGUAGAUAUCAGAAGGAACGCCGGCGGCGAAAGCGGCUCUCUGGUCCGCAACUGACGCUGAGUGUGCGAAAGCUAGGGGAGCAAACGGGAUUAGAUACCCCGGUAGUCCUAGCCGUAAACGAUGGGCACUAAGUAGAGGGGUUUU